AGCGGCAGAGGGCAGCACAAUCAGACAACGCCCUCGCCUUUUACUAGGGCGUUCCGUGUACUGCCCUCACCUCAAUGUCGCAUCGGCAAUUUUUCAGGACAUCUGAGCCUUCGAAGUUCAGU
rfam:Phlebiopsis gigantea 11061_1 CR5-6 unplaced genomic scaffold PHLGIscaffold_62, whole genome shotgun sequence.